GAUGAACGCUGGCGGCGUGCCUAAUACAUGCAAGUCGAGCGAACGGACGAGAAGCUUGCUUCUCUGAUGUUAGCGGCGGACGGGUGAGUAACACGUGGAUAACCUACCUAUAGGACUGGGUUACCUUCGGGAACCGGGGGCUAAUCCGGGCGGUUUUUUUAAACGCCUUGGUUAAAAAGGAAAGACGGGUUUUGCGUCAAUUUUUGAUUGAAUCCGCGCUGCAUUAGCUAGUUGGUAAGGUAACGGCUUACAAAGGCAACGAUGCAUAGCCGACCUAAGAGGGUGAUCGGCCACACUGGAACUGAGACACGGUCCAGACUCCUACGGGAGGCAGCAGUAGGGAAUCUUCCGCAAUGGGCGAAAGCCUGACGGAGCAACGCCGCGUGAGUGAUGAAGGUCUUCGGAUCGUAAAACUCUGUUAUUAGGGAAGAACAUAUGUGUAAGUAACUGUGCACAUCUUGACGGUACCUAAUCAGAAAGCCACGGCUAACUACGUG
rnacentral:rRNA from 1 species